CCUACGAGUAGCAGCAGUGAGGAAUAUUGGGCAAUGGACGAGAGUCUGAACCAGCCAAGUCGCGUGAAGGAUGACUGCACUAUGGGUUGUAAACUUCUUUUAUAUGGGAAUAAAAUGUUCCACGUGUGGGAUUUUGUAUGUACCAUAUGAAUAAGGAUAGGCUAACUCCGUUCCAGCAGCCGCGGUAAUACGGAGGAUCCGAGCGUUAUCCGGAUUUAUUGGGUUUAAAGGGAGCGUAGGUGGAUUGUUAAGUCAGUUGUUAAAGUUUGCGGCUCAACCGGAAAAUUGCAGUUGAAACUGGCAGUCUUGAGUACAGUAGAGGUGGGCGGAAUUCGUGGUGUAGCGGUGAAAUGCUUAGAUAUCACGAAGAACUCCGAUUGCGAAGGCAGCUCACUGGACUGCAACUGACACUGAGGCUCGAAAGUGUGGGUAUCAAACAGGAUUAGAUACCCGGGUAGUC
rnacentral:rRNA from 1 species